UAAGUAACUGAGAGGGGAAGGCUUGGCCUUUUGCCAGGGAAGACCCUCGGCCGAAGAAGCCCAGCACCUGGCAAGGGGCCGGCCACGAAGCCUUUCCCCCACGAGGCAGGAACACGGGAAGAAGCCCUCCCCACUGCACGAGGACCCGGAAGGGUGGCUGGGGGCAACCGAAAGCGCCCCCGGGGGACGACAUUCCUGGUCUCUUUGCAUCGAAGCGCCUUCCCGAGCCAGCCUGGCGGGGAGGGCCUGGCGGCGGCUGCGCGCUCCUCCCAGGCCCCUUCCCCCUCCUCCCGACUGGUCUCCUCCCUCUUCGCCGGUCUCCAUUUUCCAGAGGAUCCGGCGCCGACGGCAGCGCAAGCAGCAGAGGCGGUACCGUCAGCAGCGGAGGCAGCAGCAUCACCACCGGCGCCUGCCGGGCCUUCCUCGCCCCGCCGCCGCUAUGGCUGCCAACAUGUACCGCGUCGGAGAUUAUGUCUACUUUGAAAACUCUUCAAGUAAUCCAUAUUUGAUAAGGAGAAUAGAAGAACUCAAUAAGACAGCCAAUGGAAACGUAGAAGCAAAAGUGGUGUGUUUCUAUAGACGGAGGGACAUCUCAAGCACAUUAAUUGUACUGGCUGACAAACAUGCAAGCGAAAUGGAAGAAGAGAUGGAAAACCCAGAAAAGAUUGAUUUACCAGAGAAACAGAAACAUCAACUGCGACACCGAGAACUGUUUCUCUCGCGUCAGUUGGAAUCCUUACCAGCCACUCAUAUUAGAGGCAAAUGCAGUGUUACACUCUUAAAUGAGACAGAAUCCCUUAAAUCCUAUCUGGAACGUGAGGACUUCUUUUUUUAUUCACUAGUGUAUGAUCCACAGCAGAAGACUCUCCUAGCUGACAAAGGAGAAAUCAGAGUUGGAAACAAAUACCAGGCUGAUGUAACAGACUUACUGAAAGAAGGUGAAGAUGAUGGCAGAGACCAAUCAAAACUUGAAACAAAAGUUUGGGAAGCAUUUAAUCCACUAAUAGACAAACAGAUAGAUCAGUUUCUUGUAGUAGCACGCUCUGUGGGUACAUUUGCUCGCGCUCUAGACUGCAGCAGUUCUGUUCGGCAGCCAAGCUUACACAUGAGUGCUGCAGCAGCAUCUAGGGAUAUCACACUGUUCCAUGCCAUGGAUACGUUGCACAAAAACAUCUAUGACAUUUCCAAGGCAAUUUCUGCCCUUGUGCCCCAGGGUGGGCCUGUCUUGUGCAGGGAUGAGAUGGAGGAAUGGUCUGCUUCUGAGGCAAAUCUCUUUGAAGAAGCCCUUGAAAAAUAUGGAAAGGAUUUUACUGAUAUUCAGCAAGAUUUUCUUCCAUGGAAGUCCUUAACCAGCAUAAUUGAGUACUACUACAUGUGGAAAACAACAGAUCGAUAUGUUCAACAGAAAAGGUUGAAAGCUGCAGAAGCAGAAAGCAAGCUAAAGCAAGUAUAUAUUCCUAAUUAUAACAAGCCAAACCCCAACCAGAUCAAUGUAAAUAAUAUCAAGCCAGGAGUGGUAAAUGGUACAGGAGUUCAGGCACAGAACACGGGAACAGGACGAGCCUGCGAAAGCUGCUAUAUGACGCAAUCUCACCAGUGGUAUUCUUGGGGUCCCCCUAACAUGCAGUGUCGUCUGUGUGCAUCUUGCUGGACAUACUGGAAGAAAUAUGGAGGCUUGAAAAUGCCUACACGGCUAGAUGGAGAACGGCCAGGGCCAAAUCGAAACAAUUUGAGUCCUCACGGUGGAUCCUUAAGGAACAAUGGGAGCCCCAAGUUUGCCAUGAAAACGCGACAAGCUUUCUAUCUCCAUACUACAAAGCUGACCAGACUCGCCAGACGAUUAUGCAGGGACAUCUUGCGUCCGUGGCACGCAGCACGGCACCCUCAUAUGCCUAUCAACAGUGGAGCAAUCAAGGCCGAAUGUGCAUCUCGUUUACCAGAAGCUUCAGAAGAUUUGUUGCUAUUAAAACAUGCUGUCAGAAAACCUUUAGAAGCAGUACUUCGGUAUCUAGAAUCUCAUCCCUGCUCUCUGAAACCUGAUCCUGCUAAGAGUUUGUCUGGCUCCCUCAACAGUGUGCCUUGUGCUAAGUUUACGCCAGUGAUUAACAAUGGCUCGCCAACGAUCUUGGGAAAAAGAAACUACGAACAACAAAAUGGGAUGGAUGGUAAGUAUUUUCUGGUGUUGCCUGUUGCCAGUGUUUGCAGGUUAAUUUUUAAGUCUGCAGGACUGGUUGUCUUGGUGGCUUUUCAUUUUCAGUGUUUCUAAUAUUGCUUUUGUCAGAACUGUUUAACACUUUCUGAUUGAAAAAUGUGUUCUUCCCAAUUGCUAUUGCCAGAUGGUGCUUCAGAGCUUUCCUCUUUUUGAAUAUAUAGAAAUAGCUAUAGGACAACUCCUGUGUUUUAUCCACCCUUAAAUAUCAUGGCUUCUGAUCUUUAAAAUCUAGCCUAGGAUUGUUUAAUUCAUCAGAGAAGAAAUGAGGCUAGUAGUGUGGAGAAAGAGAGCACCCAGCACACUUAGACUUCAUUGUGGUGAUAGUGGUUGAGAAUCCUUUUCUAUGCUGGAUAAAAUGUGUUCCUUUUAACUAUAUACAAUUUGCCUUAAGCAAAAUAUGAAGGUGGGAAGAAAUUUAUGUCUAGAACAAUGUCCCAUAAAACAUGGAGUAGUGACUCCUUUACACAAACUUAUAAACGCCAUCUCCAACUCCUCGAAAGAUUCCACCAAUGGUGUCUCCGAAAAUUUUUCCACAUCACUUGGGAAGACAGGCGAACUAACACCAGUGUGCUGGAAGAAGCAAAGAUCACCAGUGUUGAAGCGAUGAUUCUUCAACAUCAACUUCGUUGGACUGGUCAUGUUGUGUGGAUGCCUGAUGGUCGUCUUCCAAAGCAACUACUCUAUUCCGAACUUAAAAAUGGAAAGCGUAAUGCUGGUGGUCAACAAAAGAGGUUUAAAGACUGUCUUUAAAAAAUGUAGUAUAAACUUCAACAAUUGUAAACCACUUACUGGGAGUGCUCUAGUUGGAGAACAGCCUUUACCAAAGGUGUCAUGGGCUUUGAAGACACUCAAACUCAGGACACAAGGGCGAAAUGUGCUACAACCUCCCAAGGGAGACCAUUCCACUGUCGGACAGCUCUUACUGUCAGAAAGUUCUUCCUGAUGUUUAGUUGGAAUUUUCUUUCUUGUACCUUGAAGCCACUGGUUUGGAUCCUACCCUCCAGAGCAGGACAAAACAAUCUUGUUCCAUCUUCCAUGUGACAGCCCUUUAGAUAUUUGAAGAUGACUAUCCUAUCUCCUCCCAGUAUCCUCUCUUCCAGGCUAAACGUACCCAACUCCCUCAACUGUCCCUCAUAAGGCGUGGUUCCCAGACCCUUGAUCUUCUUGGUCGCCUUCCUCUGCAACACUCGGCAUAAAAUUUCCAGAUACCUAAGAAUGUGGAAGUUGUUGAACGCUUCCCUCCCAACCAUACAACCAUAGCUUCGGCUAUCCUAAAUGUGCUAUCCUGUUAAUUUUUUUGACAAAGCAAGCAAACACCUGCACAGACAACAUGUCAUUUGUUUAAGUUAAGCUUGUGAAUUAAUGCACAUCUGAUUGUUGAUCUUUAUGUUCACUGUGUUCUACCAGGCCCCGUGAAGAAGCGCCUUUUGAUGCCAAGCAAGGGUAAGAUUACAGAGUCGUGCUCGGCUUCUGCUAGGACAGUGUAACUUUUUCUUGAUUCAUCCGCUGACUUUUCAAGUUUGCUUCUUUGUGCUUGUGACCACCCAUUUCGUAUUGUGUGUACAUGUUGUUUGCGUGAUUUUUAAACACAUUGCCUCCCUUCAUAAUUUCCCAUGCGGUAUUAACACACCAUUAUCAGUUUUAACUGCAGCUGAUAAAAAUAUCCUGAUUUAGCAAACCUUCUGACAUGUUUGAGUUUUGGAAGGUUUCUGGAGGAAGGGUUUUUCAUAAUUAGAGAGCAGUCACCCAAACCUUCGCUGUACACAACCUUUUGCACAGGGGUGGGGAACUGUUUUUUUGGACCGAGGGCCACAUUGCCCCAGCUGAAAGCUGUUGGGGGCCUGACCUGGAUCCAAAGUGGAUAGGGCCAGACAUGGGCAUUAUUGCAUGCUGUUAACACACAACCAAAUGUGUACAUGCACAUACAAUCUUAACAUACGCACAGACAUGCACAGUUAAUACAGGGCCCUUGCUCCUACUACAGAUUUUAAAACCCUCCUACUGAAGCCAAUAGGAGUCCCCCCCAAAAAAACCCCUUAAAUAUGGAGCAGUGGGAUCUAAAUGUAAAGCCUAGAUGUGGAGCAGGGUGGAGAGGGGGGUUGCAGAUGCAAAGAUAAAGUUUAACCCUUCCUUACCCAGUGGCAACUUUCCCAGUGCCGCCUCUCACUUAAGCUUCAAUGGUAGGUUUUUAAAAGCCUGACUGUGGUGCCAGGGUGAGGAGGCCUUGGGCUGUAUCUGGCAAACAAGAUUGGUCGUUCAUCACGCCUGCUGUAGUUUCUUGGGAGAUGUGGUAGCUUCAGGCAGCAGUGAUAUUUUCUGAUAUUUUGCAAGGCCAAAAUUAUUUAAGACUUUAUAGGUGAAGAACAGCAACUUGGAAUUUUGUGCAGAAGAAAACCUGUAUAGGUGGAAUUCUGCCUUGGGUGACUGUUCUGAGCAAAAAGAUGAGAUGUACAUUUCAAAAUAAAGAGUCUUGCAGGAGGAUAGCCACGCUUGUCUGUUACAGGACAGCUUAGCAAAUGUACGUAUAAUAGCACAACUGCCAUGGAUUCCAGUGUACUUCACCUGAUUCAUGAAGAUUCAUCCUCAGCUGGCAGGAAUAUGUGCAUAUAGGUGUAGAAAAAAUGUACAAACAGUAUACAGUAGUAAGCAUUAAUUAAGCUUCCAUUCUUAACAGCUUUAAUCAGCAACUAAGCUGCCAUUCCUUGGUGAUUCAUCUUGGUAUGACACCUCAGAAUAAGUCUUCAGGUCUGUCUAUCAAGAGUGUGUUGUGGUAGUAAACCCUCAAGAACAAGCAGUACAAAGCAUAAUUGUUUUUGCCAAUAGGAGCAUAUGGCAUAAUUGCCACCCAAUGAUGCAGUAGCCCUAUAAGGCCGAGAAAUGCAUUGACUAGGAAAGGAAUUGCUGCUCACUUUAGGUUGGAAUAGAAUACACUCAUCAUGAUUACCUCAUGCGUGCUUAGAUUCUUUUUCACUGACUAAAUGAGGAUGGAGAUGAACAUGGUCUCAUAUAAUCAUAGAAUUGGAGAGCUGGAAGGGAUCCUGAGGGUCAUCUAGUCCAACCCCCUGCAAUGCAGGAAUCUCCACUAAGCCAUCCAACCUCUGCUUAAAAACCUCCAAGGAAGGAGAGCCCACCACCUUCUGAGGGAAGUCCGUUUCACUGUUGAACAGCUCUUAUCAGAAAAUUAUUCCUGGUGUUUAGUUGGAAUCUCCUUUCUUGUAACUUGAAUCCACUGGUUCAGGUCCUACCUUCCAGAGCAGGAGAAAACAAGCUUGUUCUUUCUUCUAUGUGACAACCCUUGAGAUAUUUGAAGAUGGCUAUCCUAUCUCCUCUCAGUCUCCUCUUAUCUUGAAUUGCACAAUCUUGCUUUUUAAAUUUUAGCCACCUUUUGUGAGGGAGGGAUAUGCAACUCAACAUAAGUUUUAAAAGAAUUAACUAGACAUUUAUGCACGCACACAGUAUCACAAAAUAUCAGGCGUAUAGAGGAAUAGCACUAAAAUAAUAAAACUGAAAGAGCAAUCACUGAAAUUCUUUGAGCAGGUGUCUCUUCAACAUCUGAAGGGCUUGAUCCAAGUUCUACGAUCGAAGAAGAUACUGUGGGCAUCUACUAGGAACAGAGAAGUUAGUCAAGCUUUAUUAUUUACAGUUUGAGAUCCAUGCCUGAUGGACUUUGGGAGGUCAUUUCACAUUGUGGGGACCUUACAAAAAAAGGAGCCCUCUCCUGGUAGCUACUCACCAUUGAUUCCUCAGCUGUGGAUGGUAAAUGGACCUACGGGGAAGAAUAUAUGAAUGAGAGAUCCUUAAGAUACCCAGAUGCCAAGUUUAGUGCUUUAAAAUUUAAAACCAGAACUUUGAAUUGAGUCGCUUUCUAAAUAGUAGUUUCUGAUGCCAUCUUCAUUUAAUUUUAUUCCUUUCUUCAUCAAAUUUUGUAGUCUAAUGCCUACUGCAUAUGCUAGGCAUGAAAUGAUGUUAGCUCCAGAAAAAAAUGGAGUUUUGUAUACUUUAGUGUUGGCACCAGUAUGUGAAAAACAGAGAGACCAAAAGUGGCCUGACAAAGAUCCCUGUUUCUAUAACCAAUGGAACACUGAGGGCAGCUGAGUAUAUUCAUUCAUUCAUUUCAUUUAUUUCUUUACUGCCCAUCAUCUGAGGAUCACAGGGCGGUUUACAGUAUCAGUUGUGGAAAGCCCAGUAACUGAGUUACUGUCAAAACUAGUCCAACUUUUCUUGAAGGCUGGAUCUGGGGCCUCCGGUGCUGCCACGCACAGGCACACUAGCACUGUGUCCCGUGCCUGAGCUGUGGUGAGAUAUUGGGAGAAGGGCAAGAUGGCACAGGCUCACUGAGGCUCCAGCCCAAUACCGGAGCUUAAGCAAGGUGGAAAGUACUGCUACAAGGGAGGAGGAGGCUGGAGCUGAGCAGGGCCAGGAUCUGUAGCGCCUUGGCCUCUUUCCCUUCCCCUCCCAACCAGGAGUGCUGCUUCAGUUCUGAAGACAGCUUUUACUUCCACAGUCAAGACAAAGGCUGCCUCUUGGAGGGACUUAGAUACGUUCAGCCCUGGGAAGAAAUUUGAGCUGCACAUCCAUUGGCAGGUUUGGGGUAGGGAGAAGAGGGAAAAGCAAAGUCCCCAGGGGGAUUCAUAAGGGGCGAGGCAGUUCUAAGAUAGUCUGGUUCCAGGCAGUUUAGAUUUUGACCAGCAUUCUGGCUUCGCCUGCAUUAAACCGUUUGAGCAAUGGGCAUUGUCUUUUGCACACGCUUGGGUCUCAUACAUUGUCUUGGAGCUCUCUCUCCUGAGGCCACCAGAAGUCCCUGGAGACUUGAUGGAUUGCUCUGUACACUCUGAAAUGCCGCUCCAUUUUUGCAGCAAUCCAUCAGCACACCAAGAGAUGUCAAAAUCUGCCCAAGGAACCCUGUUCAGUCCAAGUUGUUUGAUCUAGCCUCUAGAGGAGAACUUGCUUAACAUGGAGCUGUAGCAUGUGCGGGUUUAUCAGAAUGUUGUCCAGGUUGUAAAUCGUGAACUGCCGGAACACUUAAGAGGAGUUACAAAGGCCUAGCAGCCUGAGCGUGCAUUUCAAGUGGCCGUAGCAGGUUUGGAAGGCCAUUUUUCAUUCAUCAUCAUGCUCCUGUGAUCUAAAUCGGUGUAUAUGGCGGCAGGAUGUAACUGGUCAAACAGCUGUUGGAUGAGAGGCAGCCUGUGGUCUUCUUUAGUGCCUGAUGCAGAGAUGAAAUUCUCCGGGUCUGUUUUUGCUGCUGGAGAUAUCCUUGUGUGAGAUGCUUAAGGAUCUGAUGAACUCCUACAGUCCAGAAUGGGACUGUAUCACCAGCCAAACAGCACAAUAUACUGAUACAUUGUGAUGUUGAAAAGUGGAGGAACAAGCUGCAUCGGCUCCAGCACCUUGUUAAUUCUCCUUGGACCUCUCAGUUGGCUUUUGAUACCAUCAGCCAUUGUUUCCUUCUGGAGCGGCUGUCUGAGUUGGGGGAAGGUGGCACCACUUUCCAGUGGUUCUGGUCCUACUUGGAUGGUCGUUCCCAGAGGGAGAUGCUUGGGGAGUGCUCUUCAGCCCCGUGGAGCCUUCAAGGUGGAGUUCCUCAGGGCUCAAUAUUUAUCCCCCAUGCUGUUUAACAUCUACAUUAAACUGCUGAGAGGGGUUAUCUGGAGUUUUGGAGUAUGCUGCCUCCUUUACAUUGCAGGUAUGGCAGUGGAUUUUUCUUGCCUUGGUAAUGGACUGGAUGAGAGCCAACUCCAGAUAAAACACAGGCACUGUGGGUGGUUCCCUAGACCAGAUGGCUGGGCGACUGCCUGCUCUUGAUGGGGUUUCCCUCUGAAGGAGCAGGUAUGUGGCUUGGAGUUUCCUUCAGGAUCCUUUGCUGUCUCUUGAGGCUUGGUGACCUUAGUGGUGUUGCUUGCCUUCCAUCAGUUUUGGCUGGUAGCCCAGAUGCACCCCAGUCUGUACAGGGACAACCUAAGUUCUGUUGUCUAUGCUCUUGUCUAACCUCUGCCUCUGAAGACAGUUCAGAAACUUCAGCUGGUGCAGAACUUGGCAGCCAGGGCAAGAUGGUUUCAGCAUAUAACCCCAAUCCUAGCCUGACUGUGCACUGGCUGCCAAUUAGUUUCCGGGCUGGUUUUUACCUAUAAAGCUUUAAACGGCUCAGGACCACUAUACCUCAAGGACCGCCUCUCCCCAUAUGAACUGACCCGGACGCUGAGAUCAUCCUCUGAGGUCCUUCUUCAUGUGCCUCCUCCACAUGAGGUCUGGAGGGUGGCAAAACAAGAAUGGGGUCUUUUCUGCAGUGGCUCCUUGUUUGCAGGAAGCUCUCCUCAGGAAGGUUAAUCUGGCACAUUCUUUAUGUAUCUUUAGGUACCAGGCAAAACCAUUCCUCUUCAACCAGGCCUUUGGCUGAUUAAUAAUCUACAUCCUUUAAAAUGUGUUUGGGUGGGGGGAGUUGUUGUUUUGUUUUAACUAUUUAUGUUGUGCUUUUAUUUUGUGAACCACCCUGAGAUCUUUCGAUGAAGGGCUGUAUAUAAAUCUAAUAAACAAAUGCAUACAUAUCUACAUAACUGUAUCUGUGGAGAACUGCUACUUCAUGGGCCCCCAGAGCCAUCUCACAAGACACUGUUAGAAAAGGGAUGCUGGACUAAAUAGAUCUUCCAUCUGAUUCAGAGGUGGGAAAGGCGUAUAUUUGAAUCAGUACCUCCAAUUCCAAUUCCAAUCAAACUUUUUAUUGCACUAGCCAUAGGCCAUGACAUCAUUCAGAAGGAGAACAAAAAGAGAAGAGAAAGGGAAAAACAGCAAUAACAAGAACCAUAAAAAUCAUUGGGCACAGACAUACAAUAAAACCACGGUCACAGCUACUAAAAUUAUUUGUUGCAUUAAAUAGAAUAGACUAGCAGAAGAUUCUCAGGUGAGACGUGCCAAAUUAAAUAUCCGAAUCCCCUUUGCAGUUGACUGCUAUUUUGUCUAGUUCCUUCCUCCUGAUCUUACCUGCCAGUUACCUACUUUAUAGGUAACAAAGUCGUUGGUGUCCCUCAGCAGCCAUUUCACCCUUUCCACCCUAUUCAAAUGUGUUCAGUUGGUACCUGACUUGCAGUAAAUUGGCAAGGCUCCCAAUUCUUCGACAAUAGCAAAAACAGAAAGGGUCCCAGUGAAACCAGGAAUGGAUUGUUGUGUGAAAGGAAUGUGAACUCUGUUCUGGUACUAAACACCUCCCUUAUGACCAAGACACAGACUGAAACACAAUAAAGAUUUCUGCUCCACUCCCCAAACUUUUUUUUUUUAGAAGUAGGAUAAUUCUUCACUGAUUAACCACAUAUAAAACUGAUUUUAUGUCCAACCAAGAGAGAGAGAACUAUUUUUAAGAGGGCAGGAGUUGGAUUAUUAAUUCAGAUCCCUCAUUGAACGAUGCCUCAGAGUGAAUGGCUCAAUGCCUGCCUCCUUUUGAGGCUGCCCUGCAAAUAGCAGGAUUUUUCCAAUGUUUUCCAGAGUAAAAUGUCAGUCUCUGUUAAGCUGAGCUGAGUCAAACCUCAGCGUGUCAGAUAACUAAUGGUAGGCAGGCUCGUUGGUUGGUUGGCCGGCUGGCCAGCCAGCAGGUAAGGAAGCCAACAAGUGCUUUCCUAUAACUACUGCACACUUUCUCCUGCUGCUUUCAUUGCCAUUAAUAAAGAUGGACAGUAUAUUUAAAUAUUUUUGCAAUUAUUUUUAGAUCACUUAAGGAGCUAAUCUCAUAUAUUUACCAAAGAAAAGCAAAUGUGAAAGCGUUUCCUGUUUUGGAAAGUCUGCCCAACCACGGACAAACCAGACAAAUGGUAAGAGAAUGUUCAUC